AUGGGGGAGGAACGGGUGACAUUCUAGACUUUUAUCUCAACCUUGUAAUUUUUUUUCAUGCAUAUUGAAUAGGAUUGUGUAUUUUUUGUGUUUUUCUGCUCUUGUUUUACUAUUUUUUUAUGACCUUGUGGACUAAAUAUUAUGAUCUGUUUGACAUUCUCUCCUGUCUCUCUUAACCUUAAUAUAAUUUUUCUUUCCUCACUCAUUGAAUAGGAUUGUGUAUUUUGUCUUUGCUAUAUUUUUGAAGACCUCAUAGACUCGAUAUUAUAUGAUUUUGAUAUUCUUUCCAUUUGCCUCAACCUUCCUUUUUUUAUUUCCUUGCAGACUCAAUAGGAUCAUGUCUUUUCAUCUUUUUUUAUUCACUCUUUAAGACGUCAUAUUUUCAUCCUCAUCUCGUUUUCUAAUCUCCUUUUCAUUUUGUGUUAAGGGGAUGUUAUUUUUCAAGUCUUGUUUUGAUUGACCUUUUGUUAUUAAUGUAGUAGUUAUCAUCAUCAUCGUUUAACCUCCAUUUAUUCCCUAUGGUGGGGUUGGACGGGAUAUGACCCUCCUCCACUGUUGCCGGACCAUAGCUAUUUCUUCCGUGAUGUUCAGCUUUCAUAUCUUCCUCCACCACCAGUUAGCAAGUUAUUUUGUGUCUGGGUUACAAUAAGCAUCUCAUUUUCAGAAGUUAUGAAGCUAAAAGUUGUUCAUCCUGUCUUCUGAAAUUCUCAAUCCAUUCUUUUUGCCUUUCCUUUUCAUUUUGGGUUUGGGAUACAUUUUGCAGAGUCUAAUUUGGAUUUUCUUAGGAAGUUUUUGUGUCUGGGUUACAAUAAACAUCUAAUUUUCAGAAGUUAUGAAGCUAAAAGUUGUUCGUCCUGUCUUCUGAAGUUCUCAAUCCAUUCUUUUUGCCAUUCCUUUUCAUUUUGGGUAAGGGAUACAUUUUGCAGAGUCUAAUUGAAGUUUUUGUGUCUGGGUUACAAUAAACAUCUCAUUUUCAGAAGUUAUGAAGCUAAAAGUUGUUCAUCCUGUCUUCUGAAAUUCUCAAUCCAUUUUAUUUUGCCUUUCCUUUUCAUUUUGGUUAGGGAUACAAUUUGCAGUCUAAUUUGGAUUUUUUAGAAAGUUUUUGUGUCUGGGUUACAAUAAACAUCUAAUUUUCAGAAGUUAUGAAGCUAAAAGUUGUUCAUCCUGUCUUCUGAAGUUCUCUCAAUCCAUUCUUUUUGCCUUUCCUUUUCAUUUUGGUUAGGGAUACAAUUUGCAGAGUCUAAUUUUGACUUUUUUAGGAAGUUUUUGUGUCUGGGUUACAAUAAACAUCUCAUUUUCAGAAGUUAUGAAGCUAAAAGUUAUUCUGAAGUUCUCUCAAUCCAUUUUUUUCCCUUCCUUUUCAUUUUGUGUUCGGGAUACAAUUUGCAGAGUCUAAUUUUGACUUUUUUAGGAAGUUUUUGUGUCUGGGUUACAAUAAACAUCUCAUUUUCAGAAGUUAUGAAGCUAAAAGUUGUUCUGAAGUUCUCUCAAUCCAUUUUUUUCCCUUCCUUUUUAUUUUGUGUUGAGGAUACAUUUUGCAGAGUCUACAUUUGAUUUUUUUAUUAUUAAUGUAUUUGUUAGUAAGUGUUUUGGGGGUCUGGGUUACCCUAAACAUCUCAUUUUCAGAAGUUAUGGAUCUACUAAAAUCCUUCCUUCAGUUUUCUGUAAUUCUUUCAAUCUUUUACUAUUUCUUUUUCUAUUUUUUGUCUAUAGUUUUAUUCCACUUUCCUACUAAAUCCAUUACUGUUUUUUUAUUUAUAACUUCUCUACAGCCUUUCCUUCUUUCCUACUACAACCGAGAGAGCCCGGGUUCGAUUCCCAGGCGGAGUGGAAAAAUUUGGGUGGCUUUUCCGAUACCCUACGCCCCUGUCCACCCAGCAGUGAAUGGGUACCGGGUAUUAAUCGGGGGUUGUGUCCUGUCUCCUGGGAUCUGUUCCUUUCUCCUAUAAUUCCUUCCCCUUCUGUUUCUCUCCGGCAUAUGACCACAGAUGUUGCGCCGACUAAACGAAACUUUCCAACUUUCUUUCCUACUAAUCUACUUUUUUUUUCUCAUCUACAGUUUUUCCUUCAUAUCUACUAAUUUUAUGAACAGUCUACAUCGCUACCAUGACAUCAAUUGGCAACGAAAUCACUCAGUUCAUAUUAUUUCUGUUACCUAAUUCUUGUUUACAGAUUUUCCUUCAUCUACUAAUCUUGUGUACAAUCUUCAUCGCUACCGUAACGUCAGUGGGCAGUAAAAUCUCUCAAUCCAUUUUAUUUCUUAUACCCGUUUCUUGUUUACAGUUUUUCCUUUCCUACUAAUCUUGAGAACGGUCUGCAUUGCUACUGUAACGUCAAUUGGCAGGGAAAUCUCUCAAUCCAUCUAUUUUCUUCCAUCAUUUUCUUGUCUACUGUCUUUCCUUUUUCCCGACUAAUCUUGUGACCAGUCUGCAUCGCUACCCUAACACUACUUUGCCAGCCCCGUGCGUCCAUGUCUUGUGUAUGCUGACAGUGAUUGACCUAACUGUACCAUAUGGCUUGUGUUGAGGGAGAGAGAUUCUUGAUAGUGGAAGCUUUAGACAUAACUUACUUUGAUUCACUGACUUGUGUUGCUGCUGAUGAUGAUGAUAUGAUGAUGAAGAGGCUGCAUUUUAUCAUUAAUUUCUUCUCUUGGCUGUGUGUGUGGCUGGCUGGCUGUGUGUGUGUGUGUGUCUGUGUGUUCUGUGUACGAACCAUUACUAAUUUUUACUAUAGUCCUGUUUGUGUUAGAUGGAGUUAGUAAUGAUCUCAGCCGAAUUUUCAGUCAGAUUAUACAAAGCUGAGCAUGAGGUUUGUCUGAGGAGGUGUUAGAGAGCUGGCUGCUACUGUACCAUUGCUUUCAUGCCAUCCAAUAGUUUACAGUAGUCCGUCCACCCAAGUCUGACGUGUGCAUCAACUUGUGCUGCUAACCUGCUCUCAUGCGGAUUUUGUGGACAGUGAAUGGUAGCCUGAGCAUAGGAAACAGUUGUCACUAUCAAUAAUAUGCAGGAGCAGUGACAAAUACCAUCAGUGAUAGUCAAUUUUGAGCUUGUGUGAGAACCAGUGACAGCCAGGAAGGAAACACUUGUCACUAUCAAUAAUAUGCAGGAGCAGUAACAAAUAUCAUCAGUGAUAGUCAAUUUUGAGCUUGUGUGAGAACCAGUGACAGCCAGGAAGGAAACACUUGUCACUAUCAAUAAUAUGCAGCAGCAGUAACAAAUACCAUCAGUGAUAGUCAAUUUUGAGCUUGUGUGAGAACCAGUGACAGCCAGGAAGGAAACACUUGUCACUAUCAAUAAUAUACAGCAGCAGUGACAAAUAUCAUCAAUUAUGGUUAACUUUGAGCUUGUAUGAGAACCAGUGAGAGCCAGGAAGGAAACACUUAUCACUAUCAAUAAUAUGCAGGAGCAAUAACACAUACCAUCAGUUAUAGGGCCGCUUUCACAGUCGUUCUGCUUGUUUUGAUCGUUACCAAUGGAGCUGAUUGACGCUAUAGUUUUCCACGUGAAACUGGCCGAUGGGUAGUGGCGACUGCAGAGGAAGCGAGAGGUGUUGAGAGUGUGUGGUAAGGUGCGGGGCUAGGCUAACCCCACAGCCGUCACUACCCUAUCGGCCAGUUUUAAGUGGAAAUUCUAUAGCGCCGAUCGCCGCCAUUGGUAACGAUCAAAACAAACAAAAUGACUGUGAAAGCGGCCCAUAGUCAAUUUUGAGCUUGUGUGAGAACCAGUGAGAGCCAGGAAGGAAGCAUUCUGCGCUGUUACUGUUACCGCGUGCAUGAGUGGUGAAUGUUUACCUUGUGCAGUGAAGGGAGUGAAUGAGGUGUCUGGAGGGGAAGUAGCCUUUAGGUACAGAGCCAUUUUUUUCUAGUUUGCACUGGGAGAAGCAGACUACACACACACACCCUAGGAUGAACAAGACAUAAAUUGCAUGGGUUUAUAAGGGUACGUCAAAUACAAGGUCACUCUUCUCCUUGCUAACUUGUUUCUUGUUCUUCCUGGGAUGUAUAGCAUGUCUUUCUUAAUGACAGUUUAUCUAAAUUUGCACUGGGAGAGGCAGACUACACACACAUAUCCCAGGAUGAACAAGACAUUAGUUGCAAGGGUACACCAAAUACAAGGUCACUCUUCUCUUUCUCAACUUGUUUCUUGUUCUUCCUGGGAUGUAUAGCAUGUCUUUCUUAAUGACAGUUUAUCUAAAUUUGCACUGGGAGAGGCAGACUACACACACACAUCCCAGGAAGAACAAGAUAUGAGUUGCAAGGGUACACCAAAUACAAGGUCACUCUUCUCCUUGCCAACUUGUUUCUUGUUCUUCCUGGGAUGUAUAGAGUGCCUUUUCCAGUCCCAGUGUCUCUAGUUUGCACUGGGAGAGGCAGACUACACACACACAUCCCAGGAAGAACAAGACAUUAGUUGCAAGGGUACACUAAAUACAAGGUCACUCUUCUCCUUGCUAACUUGUUUCUUGUUCUUCCUGGGAUUCAUAGCGUGUCUUUCCCAGUGCAAACUUGAGGAAAAUGUCUGUCCCUUACGCCCCUUCUGCUCCGGACGCCCCCAAUGCAGUGUUAGGAAAUAGGCCGCCUCUAAAGUCCCCUUAGAAGCAUGAGCUGAUUAAAGCGAGAUGUCUGUGUGGUGUGUGUGUGUGCGUGUGUGUGAGUGUGCGUCUAGUCCAGCCUCGUGAGUGAGUGGCAUGCAAGAGAAGACACUUUUAUGCUAUACAGUUUUUAGCCUUUAAUUGGAAGCAAACAAGUUCUUUAAUGUGUUUUGUGAUUACCUACUGUGGCAUUUUUUUAUACUUUUAUUUCUUUUUUU